rnacentral:lncRNA from 1 species
CCAACUUCUACUUUAUUUCACAAGUCUUCCAUGCUCCUUUCUUAACAAAGAGCUUAAUUAUCACAGAGAGGAGAGUUCCUCAAGUAAAUCAUUUAAGCAUGUAAAUAAUGUCUUUGGAAUGAUAAUUUACUUCUUAUAGCAUGGGAGCGGCAGCGAGCCAUCAAGAACCAUCUGCUGACCAAAAGGAAUUUUGUUUAAACUCAUUUAUCAUAACAGUUGGUAUUCUCACCUGAAAGUCUACUCAAGGUCUGGGAACGGAAGAAAAUCACUUUUAUUGUUGUUCUUAAUUUACAUUUGAAGUGAAAGCUUAUUAACAUGUUAAGCUGGAAGAAACAGUAUAAGAUGUUUAAACCGAGGAUGAUCGGGAUUCAGUUCCAACUCCGAUGAAUCCGAAGUGUUGUCUCCACUUUGACACUACUUUUCUGGAAUAAAACUUAGUUUUUUCUUCAAGACGUUCUCAUCUAUUUUCUCACAUUGGCGAGCCAGGCAGCGCGGGGUUUUUCCUAAAACAAAUGAGGAUUCUUAAACCAGAAGCGAUGUGGUGAUGGAUCCUCACAGUGGUUCUACCAAUGACAGUGAUGAUGCAAGAAUGCCCAGAAAUGCAACCAGCACCUCCCUCUGGCAGAGUAACUUAACCAUAUAAAGGAGUACUGGUCAACAAUAUUCAAUGGAUCCAUGUUCCAGUCCUAUUAAAGCUGACAGCAUGGUCCCCAGAUCUGGAUGAGCGAUGCCAAAGAGAAAGAAUGAAAGAAAUGUACAAAGAUCUUUUGACAACAGCGUUCCUGAUAUGCCAAGGAGCUGUAGCUACCAGCUCAACCACAAGACAACUGUCAAGAGAACCCCAAACUAAUUACUUAGAGAAAAUAUCAUCUGGACAAAAACUGUUAGGAUUGGUUGACAACAUACUAGGAGCCACUGGAACAGGUUUAGGCAUAUCAAACUGGAUCAGCACUAAAGAACUUUAACAAAAAAGAACUCAAACUUAAAACUCUUGCUGAGAAACUGGCUUUGCAAACAGAUGCAUAUCUACAAGAGGGACUAAAGGAAAAAGAAACGGUGCAAGCUAUCUACAAGAUUGCAUCUGCCCUCUCCAUUAUUGUAAAAAAAAAAAAAUAAAUAAAUUAUUCUGUGAGCAGAAUGCUUUGGAAAAACAACCAUUGUGUGGAACACCUUAGGCAAACUAUGAAUCGUGUGAAAUCAACCAAGUCCAUGAUAAUUUCCUUAGAGUAAUAGUUUCUGACAAGAAAACAUGUAUUACAACAACCGUGGAUCAAUUCUCUGUCUUUAUACACAAUAACCAGACCUUUUGUCCAAUUAAUAAUACUUCAUUUUUAUACAGGACAAGAUUUUGAUUAGACGAAUGUAUGGUGGAGAUUUGGUUAUUGCAUACUCUAGUUUAGUUUAGAAUGUAACUUUUAAAAUUGCUUUAUGUACGUUUGUGUCUUUCUAAUUAUGUGUCAAUGCAUUUUGUUAUUCUGUAUGUGUGUUAUGGUAGAAAGCGCCAAAUCACAGAUAAUUCAGUGAUCAAUGUUGGACGAUCCCUUUGGUGGUGAUGAUGAUUCUUGAUGACAGCUUCCAAACCCUAGAUCUCAAUUUAACAAACAAGUGUGUUUAAACAAAAACGGUGAUAAUUUAGCUCAAAAUGAAAUAGAGCUCAAUCCAGUGUGCAUGAGGCGUCGACCCAAAGACGGGUAAGAUUUUCCAAGGCCAGUGGGGAACAACCUAAGGCAGGGCGUCGCCGCCACUGGCACCUGCCAAGAAAGUUUGGUGUAAUUUGUGUGAAAGAGUAGAUUUGAUGCUUCUUUUCUAGGCCAAAGAGCAUCAGAGGGGACUGUAAGAAACUAAGUCUGCCUCGACCCAACUUCUACUUUAUUUCACAAGUCUUCCAUGCUCCUUUCUUAACAAAGAGCUUAAUUAUCACAGAGAGGAGAGUUCCUCAAGUAAAUCAUUUAAGCAUUUAAAUAAUGUCUUUGGAAUGAUAAUUUACUUCUUAUAGCAUGGGAGCGGCAGCGAGCCAUCAAGAACCAUCUGCUGACCAAAAGGAAUUUUGAUUAAACUCAUUUAUCAUAACAGUUGGUAUUCUCACCUGAAAGUCUACUCAAGGUCUGGGAACGGAAGAGUAUCACUUUUAUUGUUGUUCUCAAUUUACAUUCAAAGCAAAAGCUUAUUAACAUGUUAAGCGGGUAUACCGAAAGGUCUGGGAUUGCUAUUUUUAAUUUACAUUUGAAGUGAAAGCUUAUUAACAUGUUAAGCGGGAAGAAACAGUAUAAGAUGUUUAAACCGAGGAUGAUCGGGAUUCAGUUCCAACUCCGAUGAAUCCGAAGUGUUGUCUCCACUUUGACACUACUUUUCUGGAAUAAAACUUAUUUUUUUCUU